rnacentral:rRNA from 1 species
AUAGCGUAUAGUACUGUGAAGGAAAGGUGAAAAGCACCCCGGGAGGGGAGUGAAAGAGAACCUGAAACCCUGUGCUUACAAGCACUUAGAGCACGUCAAAGUGUGAUAAGGUACCUAUUGUAGAAUGGUCCGGCGAGUUAUUGUAUGCAGCGAGGUUAAGUAGUUCAGCUACGGAGCCGAAGUGAGAGCGAGUGUUAACAGCACGUUCAGUUGCAUGCAAUAGACCCGAAACCGGGUGACCUAUCCAUGUCCAGGAUGAAGUGAGGGUAAAACCUCAUGGAGGUCCGAACCCACUCCCGUUGAAAUGGUAGGGGAUGAGGUGUGGAUAGCGGAGAAAUUCCAAUCGAACCCGGAUAUAGCUGGUUCUCCCCGAAAUAGUUUUGGGACUAGCCUCGUGAUUAAGAUUAUCGGAGGUAAAGCACUGAAUGGCCUAGGGGUCGAGAGAUUACCGAAGCCUAUCAAACUCUGAAUGCCGAAUAAUCAUGCACGGGAGUCAGACUGUGUGAGAUAAGUUUCAUAGUCGAAAGGGAAACAGCCCAGACCUACAGCUAAGGUCCCAAAGUACGUUUAAGUGGAAAACGAUGUGAAAUUGCGUAGACAACCAGGAUGUUGGCUUAGAAGCAGCCAUACAUUAAAAGAGUGCGUAAUAGCUCACUGGUCGAGUGACUUUGCGCGGAAAAUUUAACGGGGCUAAAACGUACACCGAAGCUUAGGCUUGCAACUAUGUUGCAGGGGUAGGGGAGCGUUGAAUGAGGGGUGAAGUCGUAGCGAAAGCGACGGUGGACUUCAUUCAAGUGAGAAUGCCGGAAUGAGUAGCGAGAAUUAUGUGAGAAUCAUAAUGGCCGAAAGCCUAAGGUUUUUGGAGGAAGGUUCGUCCGCUCCAAGUAAGUCGGAAGCUAAGGUGAGGCUGAAAAGCGUAGCCGAUGCACAAACGGUUGAAAUUCCGUUACCACAGAAAGAUUUAAACUAAGGGACACUUUUGAAGAGCUGAUGCCGGGUGUUGGUUACCCCGGUCGUAAGGGAACGAAAUCAAGUAGUGAAGUCAGCGUGGAUGAAGGCGAGAAAAGCUUAGUGUAUAUCUUAUGUGUCCGUACCGCAAACCGACACAGGUAGGUAGGAAGAGAAUUCUAAGGCCAACGGGAGAAGGGUAGUUAAGGAACUCGGCAAAAUGUCCCCGUAACUUCGGAAUAAGGGGAGGUUUCUACGGAAACCCGCAGAGAAUAGUCCCAGGCAACUGUUUAUCAAAAACACAGCUCUAUGCUAAAUCGAAAGAUGACGUAUAUGGGGUGACGCCUGCCCGGUGCCGGAAGGUUAAGAGGAGGAGUGAGAGCCCUGAAUCGAAGCCCCGGUAAACGGCGGCCGUAACUAUAACGGUCCUAAGGUAGCGAAAUUCCUUGUCAGGUAAG